AUGCCCGUUUGCAGCCCAACAAAUAAUGGCGCAACCACCAGAGCUAGCUGUGUUUGUUGUUAUGCUAAAAAAAAAGCUCUGUUUGUUGUAGGAAAGCACGGGCUCUCCCUCUCCUCCCGAUCUCAGCCGCCACGAGGCGACCGACCCCGGCGACGCUCGAUCCGGUGCUGCACUGGCCGCCGGUCGACGCCGACGAGGAUUUGUGCCCUCUCCCGACCCACGUCUCUCUCUCGCGAAAUAGGAUUGGGCGCCGCCGCCGUUUUCCUAGUUGAAGGCGGCCAGAGCGCCGCACGGGAGGCCUUUGUCGAGCGAAGCCCUGGAUCACGCACGGCGUUCCCGGGGAGGGACAGGGCGGCGGAUUCGAGGAUGGGCGCGGCAGGCGGAGCUCUGUCCUCCUUUGUCCUCUCCCAUGGAGCGCUGGAUCGAAGAAGCAUCAGCUCAUCCCACCUCCAUCCCGUCUCCUUUCCUACAUCGGCCACACCACGCCGCGCUCGUGGAGCGGAGUCGCAGAAGCACGACGCCGACUGCGGCGGAGUGAGGAGAGCUCGUCCGGUCGUCUUGUCCCUCCAAGGCAGGAUCAGGCCCAACCUCCACGCCACCAGCUCCACCCCAUAUCUCUUGCCUUUCAGGGACCUGCCGUCGUUGCUUGAGCUUGUUGAGUUUGUUCUGGGAGCUCCUCUUCCUGGGGAAAAUCUGUUGGAAACCUUGAGCAAGCAUCUAAUGUUGGCUGUGUCAUCAAGCUUUGGCUUGUAA
rnacentral:rRNA from 1 species